UACGAAGGGGGCUAGCGUUGCUCGGAAUGACUGGGCGUAAAGGGCGCGUAGGCGGUUUGUACAGUCAGAUGUGAAAUUCCUGGGCUUAACCUGGGGGCUGCAUUUGAUACGUGCAGACUUGAGUGAGGAAGAGGGUUGUGGAAUUCCCAGUGUAGAGGUGAAAUUCGUAGAGAUCGGGAGGAACAUCAGUUGCGAAGGCGGCUCUCUGGACCAGCACUGACACUGAGGCACGAAAGCGUGGGGAGCAAACAGG
rnacentral:rRNA from 1 species